rnacentral:lncRNA from 1 species
AUGGACCUAACAAAUAUCUAAUAUGAGACAUCCGAUCUUUAGAUUAGACCUCACAAAUAUCUAAUGUGAGAUAUCUGAUCUCUAGAUUAGACCUCAUAAAUAUCUAACGUGAGACAUUUGAUCUCUGAAUUAGACAUCAUAGACAUCAACUUAAUACAUUCGAGCUCUAGCUUGAACUCUUAGAUGACAUGCUCUUGAAAGGAUAGAAGAUGGGACACCUCAACUCAAGUUGGAACCCCAUCAACUAAAUCUA